CUCAGAUCGAAGCGCCUUCCAGGAUCCAUAGAACAAAAAGUGCCUGAACGGACAAGGCCUCUGGAAUAUUGCAGGUGGGGAUGCCAGAAGUCCUACAAGUGGAGUUCUGAGGCAUUAGCUGGAUGCUCAGCAAAAAGCUUGUGAGAGACAACUACACCCCGGGCACUCAUUAAAACCCAAGCCAAAUGCAAAGGAAUUGGCAGAAAACUGUGGAUCUUCAGGAGAGUAAGACCUGGACUUUGCUGAAACUUCUGAGCUCUGCUUCAGUCUCCUAGGCGCAAAGACCUGGUCUCUAUGAAGCUCAGUGUCUGUGAGACGCUACCAUCAUGGCAGCCCCCGUUCAUGUUUCUCUUGCUGACCUAUCCUGUGCAGGGGAAGCCAAGUCUGCUAACGGGGUGGUGCCGUGCGGACACUCAAUGUUGCAGUUAAACCACAUCCCUUAAGAAGGAAACCUAAGGUGGCUGCUCAUUUGAGGUUCUCCAGUGGCCACACCAAUGAUAUGAGUGUGAGUCCACAUGCAGGACGAUUUAACGGCUGUGCAGUCAUGCUCAAAAGCCCCACACCAGCCUCCUCUGCAACAACAACUGCAACAACAACAGAGAUAUGACAGCCUCCCUCUCUCAUUGCUAAGGAAGGACUUCAAAGCACACUGAGUAAUUUGCAUUUCUUAUCCCAGGACAGAGAGAAUUAUAAUAAAGCAUUCGUUGGCUUUUUCUCUUCAGG
ensembl:lincRNA